UACGUAGGUGACAAGCGUUGUCCGGAUUUACUGGGCGUAAAGAGCGCGCAGGCGGUCGUUCAAGUCGAGUGUGAAAGCCCCCGGCUCAACUGGGGGAGGGUCACUCGAUACUGAUCGACUUGAAGGCAGGAGAGGGAAGCGGAAUUCCCGGUGUAGUGGUGAAAUGCGUAGAUAUCGGGAGGAACACCAGUGGCGAAGGCGG
rnacentral:rRNA from 1 species